rnacentral:tRNA from 1 species
GGGCCGGUAGCUCAGUUGGCCAGAGCGCCUGUAUGGCAUACAGGAGGUCAGGGGUUCAAGUCCCCUUCGGUCCA